rnacentral:rRNA from 1 species
AUUGAACGCUGGCGGCAGGCCUAACACAUGCAAGUCGAGCGGAUGCAGGGAGCUUGCCCUUGCGUUCAGCGGCGGACGGGUGAGUAAUGCCUAGGAAUCUGCCUGGUAGUGGGGGAUAACGUCCGGAAACGGGCGCUAAUACCGCAUACGUCCUGAGGGAGAAAGUGGGGGAUCUUCGGACCUCACGCUCUCAGAUGAGCCUAGGUCGGAUUAGCUAGUUGGUGGGGUAAAGGCCUACCAAGGCGACGAUCCGUAACUGGCCUGAGAGGAUGAUCAGUCACACUGGAACUGAGACACGGUCCAGACUCCUACGGGAGGCAGCAGUGGGGAAUAUUGGACAAUGGGCGAAAGCCUGAUCCAGCCAUGCCGCGUGUGUGAAGAAGGUCUUCGGAUUGUAAAGCACUUUAAGUUGGGAGGAAGGGCAGUAAGUUAAUACCUUGCUGUGUUGACGUUACCAACAGAAUAAGCACCGGCUAACUUCGUG